UGGCUCAGUUGGUAGAGCAUGGCGCUUGCAACGCCAGAGUUGUGGGUUCGAUCCCCAC
rnacentral:tRNA from 1 species